rnacentral:tRNA from 1 species
AGGCGGUAUAGCCAAGCGGUAAGGCCGAGGAUUGCAAAUUCUUUAUCCCCAGUUCAAAUCUGGGUACCGCCUG